GCAGAGGGACAGGAGGCCGCGGGGGCGCUUGCGCCCACGAGGAAAGUCCGGGCUCCGCAGGGCAGGGUGGUCGGUAACGCCGACCGGGGGUGACCCCAGGGACAGUGCCACAGAAAACAGACCGCCUCGCAAGGCUCGUCUUUGCGCGGCAAGGGUGAAAACGUGAGGCAAGAGCUCACGGGUCACGGCGGUGACGUCGUGAUCGGCAAACCCCACCCGGAGCAAGAGAAACAGGGGGGGCCGGGGAAACCCGGCCGGGCGGCCCGUCCGGAAUCCUCCCGGGUCCUCGCUCGAGGGGCGUGGCAACAUGCUCUCCAGAUGAAUGGUCUCCGCCGCGUCGGAGGUGACUCCGGCGUGGAACAGAACCCGGCUUACGGCCCUCUGCCCCU
rnacentral:RNase_P_RNA from 1 species